GAUGAACGCUGGCGGCGUGCUUAACACAUUGCAAGUCGAACGAAGCUCUUACGUUGAUUUCUUCGGAAUGAAGUGUAAGAUGACUUAGUGGGCGGACGGGUGAGUAACGCGUGAGGAACCUGCCUUGCAGUGGGGAAUAACAGUUGGAAACGACUGCUAAUACCGCAAUAACGCAAAGAGAUCGCAUGUUUUCUUUGCCAAAGAUUUAUCGCUGUGAGAUGGCCUCGCGUCUGAUUAGCUAGUUGGUGGGGUAACGGCCCACCAAGGCGACGAUCAGUAGCCGGACUGAGAGGUUGAUCGGCCACAUUGGGACUGAGACACGGCCCAGACUCC
rnacentral:rRNA from 1 species